rnacentral:rRNA from 1 species
UCGGGAAUUUUGGGCAAUGGGCGAAAGCCUGACCCAGCAACGCCGCGUGAGGGAUGAAGUAUUUCGGUAUGUAAACCUCGAAAGAAUGGGAAGAAUAAAUGACGGUACCAUUUAUAAGCUCCGGCUAACUACGUGCCAGCAGCCGCGGUAAUACGUAGGGAGCAAGCGUUGUUCGGAUUUACUGGGCGUAAAGGGCGCGUAGGCGGCGCGGUAAGUCACCUGUGAAAUCUCUGAGCUUAACUCAGAACGGCCAAGUGAUACUGCUGUGAUAGAGUGCGGAAGAGGCAACCGGAAUUCUUGGUGUAGCGGUGAAAUGCGUAGAUAUCAAGAGGAACACCUGAGGCGAAGGCGGGUUGCUGGGCCGACACUGACGCUGAUGCGCGAAAGCCAGGGGAGCAAACG